rnacentral:rRNA from 1 species
UACGGGGGGAGCAAGCGUUGUUCGGAUUUACUGGGCGUAAAGGGCGCGUAGGCGUCAGCACAAGUCAGUUGUGAAAUCUCCGGGCUUAACUCGGAAAGGUCAACUGAUACUGUGCGACUAGAGUGCAGAAGGGGCAACUGGAAUUCUCGGUGUAGCGGUGAAAUGCGUAGAUAUCGAGAGGAACACCUGCGGCGAAGGCGGGUUGCUGGGCUGACACUGACGCUGAUGCGCGAAAGCCAGGGGAGCGAACGGG